GUUUUCUCCUCCUGGCAAAUGUGAUUGAAUGAAUGACAUGCAAAAGACUUCGAAUUGUUUACUUCUGAAAAGCAACUCUAUACUUUUGUGCGCGAGUUCACUCAUUUGCAUCCGUCAGAAACACAAAAUCACCGACAAAAUUGAUAGUGUGAACCAGGCUCUAAUUAAUAUAUACAUGCUUUACACCCCUGCCUGAGAUUACGGUUCAAUAGACCUUACCGAUUAUUUUCUUUUGCCCAAUGGCCUCGUUUCCAUGUUAACUUAUUUUAGCAUGUCAGGGGCAGAUAAAGAUUAUAUUCCCAUGUUUUCCUGAAC